rnacentral:rRNA from 1 species
GGGUCAGUAGGUUGGUCGUGCCACCGGUACGUACUGGUCUCACUGAUUCCUCCUUCCUGAAGAACCGUAAUGCCAUUAAUUUGGUGUGGCGGGGAAACAGGACUGUUACUUUGAAAAAAUUAGAGUGUUUAAAGCAAGCUAACGCUUGAAUACAUUAGCAUGGGAUAAUGAAAUAGGACGAUCGAUCCUAUUUUGUUGGUUUCUAGGAUUGACGUA